GGGACGAUGGCGUAGUUGGUUAUCGCAUCUGCUUCACACGCAGGGGGUCCUCAGUUCGAGCCUGGGUCGUCUCA
rnacentral:tRNA from 1 species